rnacentral:rRNA from 1 species
CAGGGAGGUAGUGACAAGAAAUAACAAUACGGGGCUUAAUGUCUUGUAAUUGGAAUGAUGGGAAUUUAAACCUCUUCCAGAGUAUCAAUUGGAGGGCAAGUCUGGUGCCAGCAGCCGCGGUAAUUCCAGCUCCAAUAGCGUAUAUUAAAAUUGUUGCAGUUAAAAAGCUCGUAGUUGAAUUUCUGCUGCAUUACAUAUCUCUUGUUUGAGUUUGUUUUUGUGGCUUAUUUCGGUUUGAUUUUUUCUUUCCGGAUGAUUACUUUGAGAAAAUUAGAGUGCUCAAAGCAGGCUUUUGCCUUGAAUAGUUUAGCAUGGAAUAAUAAAGUAGGACUUUGGUUCUAUUUUGUUGGUUUUAGGUACCAAAGUAAUGGUUAAUAGGAACAGUUGGGGGCAUUCGUAUUUAACUGUCAGAGGUGAAAUUCUUAGAUUUGUUAAAGACGAACUACUGCGAAAGCAUUUGCCAAGGAUGUUUUCAUUAAUCAAGAACGAAAG